GAUGAGGAACGUAGCGAAAUGCGAUAAGUAAUGUGAAUUGCAGAAUUCAGUGAAUCAUCGAAUCUUUGAACGCACAUUGCGCCCCUUGGUAUCCCGAGGGGCAUGCCUGUUCGAGCGUCAUUUCACCACUCAAGCCUGGCUUGGUGUUGGGCGACGUCCUCUUUGGGGACGCGCCUCGAAACGCUCGGCGGCGUGGCACCGGCUUUAAGCGUAGCAGAAUCUUUCGCUUUGGAAGUCGGGGCCCCGUCUGCCGGAAGACCUGCUCGCAAGGUUGACCUCGGAUCAGGCAGGGAUACCCGCUGAACUUAAGCAUAUCAAUAAGCGGAGGA
rnacentral:misc_RNA from 1 species